rnacentral:miRNA from 1 species
AAAUCAAAUUGGCUGUGGAAU